rfam:Triticum urartu cultivar G1812 contig109367, whole genome shotgun sequence.
AAAGUACUCCCUCCGUCCCAAAAUUCUUGUCUUAGAUUUAUCUAGAUACGGAUGUGUCAAGUACCAUUUUAGUAUUAGAUACAUCAUCUAGACAAAUCUAAGACAAGAAAUUUGGGAGAGAGGGAGUAGUUG